CCUACGGGCGGCAGCAGUGAGGAAUAUUUGUCAAUGGGCGCGAGCCUGAACCAGCCAAGUAGCGUGAAGGAUGACUGCCCUACGGGUUGUAAACUUCUUUUAUAAAGGAAUAAAGUGAGGCACGUGUGCCUUUUUGUAUGUACUUUAUGAAUAAGGAUCGGCUAACUCCGUGCCAGCAGCCGCGGUAAUACGGAGGAUCCGAGCGUUAUCCGGAUUUAUUGGGUUUAAAGGGAGCGUAGAUGGGUUAGUAAGUCAGUUGUGAAAGUUUGCGGCUCAACCGUAAAAUUGCAAGUGAUACUGGCAGUCUUGAGUACAGUUGGGGUAGGCGGAAUUCGUGGUGUAGCAGUGAAAUGCUUAGAUAUCACGAAGAACUCUGAUUGCGAAGGCAGCUUACUAAACUGCCACUGACAUUGAGGCUCGAAAGUGUGGGUAUCAAACAGGAUUAGAUACCCCUGUAGUC
rnacentral:rRNA from 1 species